GCUCACAGUUCCUCUGCACUGCCCAUAUGACAGCUCUGUUUCUCUGGGUGUUGUUGGCUGCUCUGUGCCUUGAAUGCAGAGGCCAAAACGACAACGUGAUGCAACCACAAGGAGAUGUGACGGGAGCUGAAGGAGAGGCAGUAACUCUGGGCUGUCAAUACAACAGCAGUUCUACCACUAAUUAUCUGCACUGGUACAAACAGGAAGUAAACAGUCGGCCCACAUUCAUCCUGAACCGACUCACACUGGACCAAGGAACCACAGCAGAGACGUUCAAGGAAAGAUUCACAUCCACACUGGAUCAAACAUCAAGAUCAGCUCCUCUGAAGAUCCAGAAGCUUCAUGUGUCAGACUCUGCUGUGUACUACUGUGCUCUGCAGCCCACAGUGACAGGAAACAGCAAAACUCUGAACAAAAACCUCUGGAGCAAAGACAACACAGUACUACACAACAUCCACUAGAGGGACUCACACACUGUUCACCUUCAGAGGAAAACACAACAAAUGCUGUCCCAGUUUAGAAGAAUCCACCCAGUGAGUCUGUUCUCUCCUCUGUUUCCUCUUUACAGCU